GAUUGUUACGCCUCCAUGGAGUCCUGCUUCAUCAACAGGGACCAAAGGUGCAGCAGUGUACUUAGCACCCAUGCACCAGAACACGUGGACUUGAGGUGGUCAUUGAUCGCGGACUUGCGAACGUGAUUCAGAACCACAUUGCAGGAAGUACAGAAGAGCUUUCCUCCAUCUUCGUGCAGCUCGCUGCCAAACUCAGUUACGCGAUCCUGAGGAGUUACAUACAAAGCAGUCUUCGAGCGGUUACGUGACGGAGCGGACUUCACUCCAAACCGUUCCAUUGUGCCUUCAAUAAGCUUUAUCUGAAAGCUGGGGAAAAAAAAAUGCUGUUAAAGUGUGUUAAUGAUUUCAACUGAAUAGUUCUGGAUGCAGUCUAUUCAAUAUCCAAUAUAGCACUUGCUGACAGGUAAAAUAUAAUUACAUGUAAGAUACAUGUGUGAAACUACUAUUGAAAGGUUCUUCAUCGUGAAGUCCAAAGAACAUAGGAGACUGACGUUCCUCAUGGGUCAGUAAAAUACUUUUUAGUUUCUGUGACUACAAAGCUCAACGGAACUCUUCAAACUCCAUCUGUUUAUCACUGAAAGUCAAAUAGAAAGGCUUUUUCUUGAAGAUUGUUUUUAUCCCUUUUUAUGCUAAAGGGUACUCUCUUGGUAUCUUCAAUAUAUUUGAUAAUUUCUUACGUUGAGUAUUUUUCUGUUUACUUCCUGAAAAUGUGUAUUAAUUCUGUUAGCAAAAACUUAGUUGUUGAAAUAUCUGGUAAGAAGGCCAUUACUGUCACAAAAGCCUGUAAAAAAGUCCAACGAAACAACAACCAAAAACCCCAAACUUGAGCUUUGUCAGUGCUCAUUUGGGAAUACCCCCCACUUUUGCCCCAGCUUACACCACAGCAAUUAGACUCAACCUUAACUCAAAGUCAGGAGCAAAUCAUUUUGUCACAGCAACUAGAGACCAAUGAAACAGCCUGAUGUGAACAGAAAACGGCAAAUUAUUUUUCAAUGCAAAAUAACAACCUGUAUUUUCAAAGACGACAACUUCUCUGAGGAAGGUAACUGAUAACUAAGAGAGCUGGACACUUUUUAACACUGCUCCAAAUUACACUAUGUUACCAAAGCAGGCAAUAACUUGGCCAAGUGUAUUAAAAUCAAACAGGACUUACGUCUGUCUUUGUUGUUGAGAACUAGAGUAGCUGGUGUAAAUCUCAGCCAAGAUAAUUUAAGUCAUUUUCAAAGUAAAGUUGAAAUCAAGAAACAGCUGUGUUCAGGUUUGAAGUUCGCUUAGCAAAAGAAUUGGUCAUUACAUUAACUACCCACUUCCUUAACAAAAAAAGGGCAACAGGUUAUUUCUUAAUGCAAUAUAUUUUGAUAAAUAUUUUGAGGAAAUAUACUAGGUUAUCUGACUUUAAAAGGCCAGAACUUGCAAACUAACUGUAAGUUGAGCCUGUCCACCUCUAAGGACUGAAUCAAGUUUUCCUGUCUAGAAUGCCUUUUGCUUGCUCUGGAAAUAAAGACACAGAAAAUUCAGUUUU